GAAUAUUGGACAAUGGCUGAAAAGCUGAUCCAGCCAUCCCGCGUGAAGGCAGAAGGUCCUAUGGAUUGUAAACUUCUUUUCUCUGGGAAGAAAACCUCUUAUUCACUAAGAGACUGACGGUACCAGAGGAAUAAGCACCGGCCAACUCCGUGCCAGCAGCCGCGGUAAUACGGAGGGUGCAAGCGUUAUCCGGAUUCACUGGGUGUAAAGGGUGCGUAGGCGGGCUUGUAAGUCAGUGGUGAAAGCCCGGGGCUUAACUCCGGAACUGCCGUUGAUACUGCAGGCCUUGAGUGCACUUGAGGUGGGCGGAAUACAUCAUGUAGUGGUGAAAUACUUAGAUAUGAUGUAGAACACCGAUUGCGAAGGCAGCUCACUAAAUUGCAACUGACGCUGAGGCACGAAAGCGUGGGGAUCAAACAGG
rnacentral:rRNA from 1 species